ACCUGGAGAUAGCUGGUUCUCUCCGAAAUAGCUUUAGGGCUAGCCUCAAGUGAUGAUUAUUGGAGGUAGAGCACUGUUUGGACGAGGGGCCCCUCUCGGGUUACCGAAUUCAGACAAACUCCGAAUGCCAAUUAAUUUAACUUGGGAGUCAGAACAUGGGUGAUAAGGUCCGUGUUCGAAAGGGAAACAGCCCAGACCACCAGCUAAGGUCCCAAAAUAUAUGUUAAGUGGAAAAGGAUGUGGCGUUGCCCAGACAACUAGGAUGUUGGCUUAGAAGCAGCCAUCAUUUAAAGAGUGCGUAAUAGCUCACUAGUCGAGUGACACUGCGCCGAAAAUGUACCGGGGCUAAACAUAUUACCGAAGCUGUGGAUUGUCCUUUGGACAAUGGUAGGAGAGCGUUCUAAGG
rnacentral:rRNA from 1 species